GAGUUUGAUCGUGGCUCAGAUUGAACGCUGGCGGCAAUGCCUUACACAUGACAAGUCGAACGGCGAGCACGGGAGCUUGCUCCUGGUGGCGAGUGGCGAACGGGUGAGUAAUGCAUCGGAACGUAUCCUGGAGUGGGGGAUAACGUAGCGAAAGUUACGCUAAUACCGCAUAUUCUGUGAGCAGGAAAGCGGGGGACCUUCGGGCCUCGCGCUCUUGGAGCGGCCGAUGUCGGAUUAGCUAGUUGGUGAGGUAAAGGCUCACCAAGGCGACGAUCCGUAGCAGGUCUGAGAGGAUGAUCUGCCACACUGGAACUGAGACACGGUCCAGACUCCUACGGGAGGCAGCAGUGGGAAUUUUGGACAAUGGGGCAACCCUGAUCCAGCCAUGCCGCGUGAGUG
rnacentral:rRNA from 1 species